UACGUAGGGUGCGAGCGUUAAUCGGAAUUACUGGGCGUAAAGCGUGCGCAGGCGGUUAUGCAAGACAGGUGUGAAAUCCCCGGGCUCAACCUGGGAACUGCAUUUGUGACUGCAUGGCUGGAGUGCGGCAGAGGGGGAUGGAAUUCCGCGUGUAGCAGUGAAAUGCGUAGAUAUGCGGAGGAACACCGAUGGCGAAGGCAAUCCCCUGGGCCUGCACUGACGCUCAUGCACGAAAGCGUGGGGAGCAAACAGG
rnacentral:rRNA from 1 species